rnacentral:rRNA from 1 species
CAGCAGCCGCGGGAAUACGUAGGUGGCAAGCGUUGUCCGGAAUUAUUGGGCGUAAAGCGCACGUAGGCGGCUUUUUAAGUCAGAGGUGAAAGCCCGGAGCUCAACUCCGGAACUGCCUUUGAGACUGGAAGGCUUGAACGUCGGAGAGGUGAGUGGAAUUCCGAGUGUAGAGGUGAAAUUCGUAGAUAUUCGGAAGAACACCAGUGGCGAAGGCGGCUCACUGGACGACUGUUGACGCUGAGGUGCGAAAGCGUGGGGAGCAAACAGGAUUAGAGACCCCGGUAGUCCCUGUCUCUUAUAC